rnacentral:tRNA from 2 species
GGAUGGAUGUCUGAGUGGUUGAAGGAGUCGGUCUUGAAAACCGAAGUAUUGAAAAUACCGGGGGUUCAAAUCCCUCUCUAUCCG